AACGAACGCUGGCGGCAGGCUUAACACAUGCAAGUCGAACGCAUCGCAAGAUGAGUGGCAGACGGGUGAGUAACGCGUGGGAACAUACCCUUUUCUACGGAAUAGCUCUGGGAAACUGGAAUUAAUACCGUAUACGCCCUACGGGGGUAAGAUUUAUCGGGGAAGGAUUGGCCCGCGUUGGAUUAGCUAGUUGGUGGGGUAAAGGCCUACCAAGGCGACGAUCCAUAGCUGGUCUGAGAGGAUGAUCAGCCACAUUGGGACUGAGACACGGCCCAAACUCCUACGGGAGGCAGCAGUGGGGAAUAUUGGACAAUGGGCGCAAGCCUGAUCCAGCCAUGCCGCGUGAGUGAUGAAGGCCUUAGGGUUGUAAAGCUCUUUCACCGAUGAAGAUAAUGACGGUAGUCGGAGAAGAAGCCCCGGCUAACUUCGUGCCAGCCGCCGCCGCAGUAA
rnacentral:rRNA from 1 species